rnacentral:rRNA from 1 species
UACGUAGGUGGCGAGCGUUAUCCGGAAUUCUUGGGCGUAAAGGGUGCGCAGGCGGUUGUAAAAGAUUGUGGUUAAAGAAUGGGGCUCAACUCCCUAAUGCCAUGAUAACUAUACGACUAGAGUACAGAAGAGGAAAGUGGAAUUCCAUGUGUAGCGGUGAAAUGCGUAGAUAUAUGGAGGAACACCAGUGGCGAAGGCGGCUUUCUGGGCUGUAACUGACGCUGAGGCACGAAAGCGUGGGGAGCAAAUAGG